rnacentral:rRNA from 1 species
CACUUUUUUAGAACUCUUCGGAGGGAAGAGAGGGUGACUUAGCGGCGGACGGGUGAGUAACGCGUGGGCAACCUGCCUUACACAGGGGGAUAACAAUUAGAAAUGAUUGCUAAUACCGCAUAAGACCCCAGUACCGCAUGGUACAGGGGUAAAAACUGAGGUGGUGUAAGAUGGGCCCGCGUCUGAUUAGGUAGUUGGUGGGGUAGAAGCCUACCAAGCCGACGAUCAGUAGCCGACCUGAGAGGGCGACCGGCCACAUUGGGACUGAGACACGGCCCAAACUCCUACGGGAGGCAGCAGUGGGGAAUAUUGCACAAUGGGGGAAACCCUGAUGCAGCGACGCCGCGUGAGUGAGGAAGUAUUUCGGUAUGUAAAGCUCUAUCAGCAGGGAAGAAAAUGACGGUACCUGACUAAGAAGCCCCGGCUAACUACGUGCCAGCAGCCGCGGUAAUACGUAGGGGGCAAGCGUUAUCCGGAUUUACUGGGUGUAAAGGGAGCGUAGACGGAAUUGCAAGUCUGAUGUGAAAAUCCGGGGCCCAACCCCGGAACUGCAUUGGAAACUGUAUUUCUAGAGUGUCGGAGAGGCAAGUGGAAUUCCUGGUGUAGCGGUGAAAUGCGUAGAUAUCAGGAGGAACACCAGUGGCGAAGGCGGCUUGCUGGACGAUGACUGACGUUGAGGCUCGAAAGCGUGGGGAGCAAACA